CCUACGGGCGGCAGCAGUGAGGAAUAUUGGUCAAUGGGCGCGAGCCUGAACCAGCCAAGCAGCGUGAAGGAUGACUGCCCUACGGGUUGUAAACUUCUUUUAUAAAGGAAUAAAGUGAGGCACGUGUGCCUUUUUGUAUGUACUUUAUGAAUAAGGAACGGCUAACUCCGUGCCAGCAGCCGCGGUAAUACGGAGGAUCCGAGCGUUAUCCGGAUUUAUUGGGUUUAAAGGGAGCGUAGAUGGGUUGUUAAGUCAGUUGUGAAAGUUUGGGGCUCAACCGGAGAAUUGCAAUUGAUACUGGCAGUCUUGAGUACAGUAGAGGGGGGCAGAAUUCGUGGUGUAGCGGUGAAAUGCUUAGAUAUCACGAGGAACUCCGAUGGCGAAGGCAGCUUACUAAAC
rnacentral:rRNA from 1 species